UACGGGGGGGGCAAGCGUUGUUCGGAAUUACUGGGCGUAAAGGGCUCGUAGGCGGCCAACUAAGUCAGACGUGAAAUCCCUCGGCUUAACCGGGGAACUGCGUCUGAUACUGGAUGGCUUGAGUUUGGGAGAGGGAUGCGGAAUUCCAGGUGUAGCGGUGAAAUGCGUAGAUAUCUGGAGGAACACCGGUGGCGAAGGCGGCGUUCUGGACUGUAACUGACACUGAUGAACGAAAGCCAGGGUAGCAAACGGG
rnacentral:rRNA from 1 species